rnacentral:rRNA from 1 species
UAUCAAUAAGCGGAGGAAAAGAAACCAACAGGGAUUGCCCUAGUAACGGCGAGCGAAGCGGCAACAGCUCAAAUUUGAAAUCUGGCUACUUUGUAGUCCGAGUUGUAAUUUGUAGAGGAUGCUUUUGGUGAGGUGCCUUCCGAGUUCCCUGGAACGGGACGCCAGAGAGGGUGAGAGCCCCGUACGGUUGGAUACCAAACCUUUGUAUAGCUCCUUCAACGAGUCGAGUAGUUUGGGAAUGCUGCUCUAAAUGGGAGGUAUAUCUCUUCUAAAGCUAAAUAUAGGCUAGAGACCGAUAGCGCACAAGUAGAGUGAUCGAAAGAUGAAAAGCACUUUGAAAAGAGAGUUAAACAGCACGUGAAAUUGUUGAAAGGGAAGCGCCUAUGACCAGACUUGUUUCUUUCAGUUUUGUUAGUUCUCGGACUGAUUUACUCUGUUAGUACAGGCCAGCAUCAGUUUGUUGUCGGGGAGAAAGGCUUAGGGAAUGUGGCUCCUUCGGGAGUGUUAUAGCCCUUUGCAUAAUACCCUUCGGCAGACUGAGGACCGCGCUUCGGCAAGGAUGCUGGCGUAAUGGUCAUCAGCGACCCGUCUUGAAACACGGACCAAGGAGUCAACCUUAUGUGCGAGUGUUUGGGUGUAAAACCCCAGCGCGUAAUGAACGUGAACGUAGGUGAGAGCUUCGGCGCAUCAUCGACCGAUUCUGAUGUUCUCGGAUGGAUUUGAGUAAGAGCACACAGGGUUGGACCCGAAAGAAGGUGAACUAUGCUUGUAUAGGGUGAAGCCAGAGGAAACUCUGGUGGAGGCUCGCAGCGGUUCUGACGUGCAAAUCGAUCGUCAAAUAUGAGCAUGGGGGCGAAAGACUAAUCGAACCUUCUAGUAGCUGGUUCCAGCCGAUU